rnacentral:misc_RNA from 1 species
GAAAUGCGAUAAGUAAUGUGAAUUGCAGAAUUCAGUGAAUCAUCGAAUCUUUGAACGCACCUUGCGCUCCUUGGUAUUCCUUGGAGCAUGCCUGUUUGAGUAUCAUGAAAUCUUCAAAGUAAAUCUUUUGUUAACUCAAUUGGUUUCUACUUUGGUAUUGGAGGUCUUUGCAGCUUCACACCUGCUCCUCUUUGUUCAUUAGCUGGAUCUCAGUGUUAUGCUUGGUUCCACUCGGCGUGAUAAGUUAUCUAUCGCUGAGGACACUGUAAAAGGUGGCCAAGGUAAAUGCAGAUGAACCGCUUCUAAUAGUCCAUUGACUUGGACAAUACUUUUGUGAUCUGAUCUCAAAUCAGGUAGGACUACCCGCUGAACUUAAGC